GAUGAACGCUGGCGGCGUGCCUAAUACAUGCAAGUCGAGCGAACAGACGAGGAGCUUGCUCCUCUGACGUUAGCGGCGGACGGGUGAGUAACACGUGGAUAACCUACCUAUAAUACUGGGAUAACUUCGGGAAACCGGAGCUAAUACCGGAUAAUAUAUUGAACCGCAUGGUUCAAUAGUGAAAGACGGUUUUGCUGUCACUUAUAGAUGGAUCCGCGCCGCAUUAGCUAGUUGGUAAGGUAACGGCUUACCAAGGCAACGAUGCGUAGCCGACCUGAGAGGGUGAUCGGCCACACUGGAGCUGAGACACGGUCCAGACUCCUACGGGAGGCCGCAGUAGGGAAUCUUACGCAAUGGGCGAAAGCCUGACGGAGCAACGCCGCGUGAGUGAUGAAGGUCUUCGGAUCGUAAAACUCUGUUAUUAGGGAAGAACAAAUGUGUAAGUAACUAUGCACGUCUUGACGGUACCUAAUCAGAAAGCCACGGCUAACUACGUG
rnacentral:rRNA from 1 species